AUCACCCAGGAGACAAUUAUUGGCUUAGAUAUCGGGCGAGGAGAGGCUCGAUCACACGGAAUGAUACUAUUUAAGUUAAAAAUAAUUGGCUGAUCUGACAAUGAUACUUGUUUAUGGUUGUUUGGCUGUUGAAUGUAAGAUAAAUUUAUCACCAAAUAGAUCGGAGAUUUUGAAGCAAUCUCAACUUAAGUUUACCCAGGAAUAUAGAUUGAUCGGAGUGUAUGGUUUUAACCGGUAUUUUACGAAAAGAUCAACCACAAGAUGCUAAACCUAGGAUUAAAAAGAUUUUAAUAAACAUAAUAUUGGUGGCAUAAAGCAGUACAACAAUUCAACGGAUCGCUUUGGUUGCUCUGACGAAACAAUAUUUAAUGAUUACUGGGUUACAUACUUUCAGUAGAACAGUAACCUUGAUGGAACAAUCCCAGGACGGUUUCAAUUAGAUUCUGUGGUCUGACAUUUUAGGAAAAACUGUAAAUUGAGGUUUUGAUACAUUGCUGUUGAUUGAAGAGUACAACGUUCACAUUUGAAAGAGGCUACCACGAAAAGAAAAGCUCUAAUUAGGGUUUGUGUUCCGAUAGUUUGUGAAAGAUCAUAAAUUAAGGUUUAAGGGUGUUCUUCUUCAUUGACUUGUGAAUUGUUUAAAGAGAAAUUAUCAAGGAUAGUUCCAAAUUUUUAACCACUCAAAAGAUUGUUGUCCGAUAUUUUGUCAAGGACGGUUAAAGUGGCUAUUUUGUUCUUUAUCAGAGUGUCUUGUUGAUCUUUGAGAAAUACAUUCACGAAUAGUUUGCAUCCAGAAUAAAAUGUAACCACUUUUAUGUUGACAAAAAAAUCUGUGCAUUAACCUGAAUAGAUGGUUAUGAGGUGUUUAACAUAUUGAUUAUGAGGUGUUUAACAUAAACCUAACGUUACUCUGAUUACAAUGCUGUCGCUGUAUUUAAUUGUAGCUGUUGCAGCUUCGCCGCUGGUGUCGUCUUCAGGCAAUUACAGACAGGGAAGAGCAUUGCGCAGGCAUGUGUAUGACGAUAAGAACAUAAACACCAAUAACCUAGAGAUAGCCGAUAGCCCAAAAACCUUAACCGCCUGUCAUCUACAUUGUGUAGAAAAUGAAAAAUGCGUAUCGUAUUUUUAUUUAAGUCAUAAUCAGACCUGUCGUCUGCACAGUAUUGCAUUUCAAAAUACAACUCACGCUGUUGCUUUGGCUGGUUCGGCUUAUUACCAGAUUUACGAAGAUUGGUGUUUACCGGAUGAUGGGCAUAUUUUGUACCGACCCCAAAGAGUCUGUUACAAGUUUUACACGAAUCUAGAACAUAAUUACAACGAUGCUAUGGCAUUUUGUCAAGGAAAAUCAGAAGAACUGCUGACUGUACGAAAUGCUGAUAAACAUGGCCAGAUUACCGAAUUCUUGAAAGAUUAUUUCAAAGGAUACAGUGUACCUUGGUCUGAAUUUUCUAAGUUUUUUAUAUCCGCCAACAAUAACACUGGAACACUGCUCUGGCCCGAUAACACGCCCGUCAUCUAUACUGAUUUUGCCACUGGUGAACCCAGCAAUGAAGCUGAAAACUGUAU